GUUAGAUCCCAGCUCACCCAUUAACAAGAUAACAUUGCAAACAAUAAGAUGCAGAUAGCAGGACUAGUUUAUAUCAGAUUGUGUGAAGAGUUAGAUCAAAGAGCCAGUAAAGCCAUGAGAUUCCAAUAGCACAUGGCUUUGAAAGCACUUAUGUAACAAAGCAAGUGGGGGAUGUUCCUAUAGAGAUUGUUUUAGUACUCUAACCUCCAUUACUUGUCUACUAAAAACACACUAUGAACCUUUGUUGGGAACAGAGUAUUUAAACAUCACCUCCACCCAAUCUAAG